rnacentral:lncRNA from 1 species
CUUGCCCGCACUUGAGGCACCUCCCUCGGCGCUGCUCACAAACACCCGGCCGGUGGUCUCCGCCGCAGAAGACGCAUCGCUGAGCACCACGACCCUUGGGCUGAGAGCGUGGAUACUUCGGGGGCCGCUUGGAGCUAGACUGACCGCCCGAACCACCGCCCUGUCUCUUCUUGCCCUUAUCCUUGUCGAGCGCCUCACGGUCCUCACGCUCGCAAACGUUCCCGUGCUCGACCCACAGCGCACGAUCCAAAGCCUCCGCCAAAGAGUGAAACUUCAAGGCAUGCACCAAUCUGAAAACUCCGGGCCGUAGACCUCGAA